AGACCUGAAAUCAGUCGAGGUUACCCGCUGAAUUUAAGCAUAUUAUUAAGCGGAGGAAAAGAAAAUAACAAUGAUUCCCUCAGUAACGGCGAGUGAAGCGGGAAGAGCUCAAAGUGAAAAUCGUGAGUCCCUUUGUUUGGCCUCACGAAUUGUAGCCUCUAGAAGCGUGGCCAGUGGAGGGGCAGGUCCAAGUUUCUUGGAACAGAACAUCAGAGAGGGUGACAGUCCCGUCCUUUGUCCUGCUUGUUAGGUCUCCACGUACGGUGCGCUUUUAUUGAGUCGCGUUCAUUGGGAUUUGAGCGCAAAAUGUGUGAUAAGUUUCACAUAAAGCUAAAUAUUGGCGUGAGAC
rnacentral:ncRNA from 1 species